UACGUAGGGGGCAAGCGUUGUCCGGAUUUAUUGGGCGUAAAGAGCGUGUAGGCGGCCAGACAGGUCCGUUGUGAAAACUCGAGGCUCAACCUCGAGACGCCGAUGGAAACCGUCUGGCUAGAGUCCGGAAGAGGAGAGUGGAAUUCCUGGUGUAGCGGUGAAAUGCGCAGAUAUCAGGAAAAACACCCGUGGCUAAGGCGGCUCUCUAGUACGGUACUGACGCUGAGACGCGAAAGCGUGGGGAGCGAACAGG
rnacentral:rRNA from 1 species